UGUAAUAGCAGCGAAGUAGUUGUUUAUU
rnacentral:sRNA from 1 species